GGAAAUGCAGAUUGGUUAAUACCCAACCUGUUUGACAAAGGCCCCAAAGGAAGCCACGGCUAACUCUGUGCCAGCAGCCGCGGUAAUACAGAGGUGGCAAGCGUUGUUCGGUAUUAUUGGGCGUAAAGAGCACGUAGGUGGUUUUGUAAGUCAGAUGUGAAAGCCUUCUGUUCAAAGGAAGAACGGCAUCUGAAACUGCAGAUCUUGAGUGUAGGAGGGGAGAGUGGAAC
rnacentral:rRNA from 1 species